rnacentral:rRNA from 1 species
GGACAGGUGGUGCAUGGUUGUCGUCAGCUCGUGUCGUGAGAUGUUCGGGUUAAGUCCCGCAACGAGCGCAACCCUCGACCUUAGUUGCCAGCAUUCAGUUGGGCACUCUAAGGUGACUGCCGGCUAAAAGUCGGAGGAAGGUGGGGAUGACGUCAAAUCAUCAUGCCCCUUAUGACCUGGGCUACACACGUGCUACAAUGGGCGGUACAAAGGGUCGCGAACCCGCAGGGGGGAGCCAAUCCCAAAAAGCCGCUCUCAGUUCGGAUUGCAGGCUGCAACUCGCCUGCAUGAAGCCGGAAUCGCUAGUAAUCGCGGAUCAGCAUGCCGCGGUGAAUACGUUCCCGGGCCUU